rnacentral:misc_RNA from 1 species
ACGCACAGCAGUUGUUUCGAAAAUGACCGAGCCGAUUCGGAAAUUUUUGCUGUUGUUUUUGGACUUAUUGUUUAUAGCCUUUAUUUCUUUUUACGCGUGUUUCUGGACGAUUUGGUUAACUGUAAGGGAGAUGGCCGAGGUGGCAAAGAGUGUGGUAAGUGAGCCGGAAAGGACCGAAGAGGAGGUCUCCCUGCAAGAGUUAAUUGAUUCAGAGCUUGCCCUUAGAGUGCCAACCAAAAAUUACUCAUUCACAAGAGAUUUCCUAACAGCCGAAAGAGAACAUUCGGACGCUACCUCUCCUCCUUCGCUUUCCCUUUUAGCUCUUAACCAGCAAAACCUUUCCCUUAACAAUAACUCGCCGUCCUCUGAGGAAUGGACGACCGUCGAAGAGAUCGCCAAAGACAUACAAAACGAAGAUGAGUCCAACCGCGACAACAACAAUCCCGACCAAGUGGAAGAACUCGAGCAGGAGGUCGUCGAAACCCAAGAGGAGGUAGUCGUUGAAAACGAGGAAUACACGGAAACGACAGAAAAAACGGACACUACAGAGAAUAUCGAUACCAGUCACAAUAUAUCUUAUGGAGAUGGCAUCUCCGACAGCGACUAUGGUGAGACUGAAACAGUCGAGACUACAGUUACAGAAAAGAAGAAGAAAAAGAAGAGCAAUGGUGAGGGAGACACAAACUUCACCAAGAUGAAAAAAACAAAAAAAUCCAAGAAAACAGAAGAAAAGGAAAAUCACAUAUCCGUGAUGACAAAUGGCCAUCAUUCAAGCCCAGAACGCACUCCUUCACCACCUCCAGUUGUCAAGGAAAACGAGCUUUCCAAUGUCUGCGUUAAAAAUUUGAAAUUAAACUACGUCACUGAGGCGAACAAAUUGGUGCAAACUAAGCCGUCGGAAGUACCAGUGCCUCCAGCAGUUUCCAUAAGAGAACUCAGGCGCAGCUUUGGUGAUAUUCAUAAGGCAUGUGAAACGGUUGAUAUUACUGAAACAACUAAUACUGAUAUACAUUUGCGUGCUAGAUCGUUGGGUGAUUUGUCAAGAAUCAGCAGGCAGCCGCCCAUCAUAACUGGAGUCAACGUAAAAAAGUUGGCAGCUACGUACUGGAGGACAGUUUCUAUCGAGAACAAUUUGAAUGAUCAUGGAAAUAAACGGAUUGGCCGUCUAGACAAAUCGAGUUUUAGCAAAUUUGAUCAGUUGAGCAAGAAAGUGCUCCAUGUCAGAUCUUCUGAUCCAGCUAAAGCCUCAAAAACUUUCAGUCAGGGAUCAGACAGCCAGACAUCAUCAACAUGCAAGUCCUGUGGGAAAACUGUUUUCGCCAUGGAACAGGUCAAAGCAGAAAAAGCCGUUUGGCACAAAAACUGCUUCAGAUGCCAAACUUGCAACAAACAGCUCACCAUGGACAUAUAUAGCAGCCAUGAGGGAACUUUAUAUUGCAAGCCCCACUUUAAAGAACUCUUCAAGCCCAAGGCAGUAAUUGAAGAUGAAGAACCAGUGAGACGUCGUAAACCUGAAAUGAUAAUAAGGGAGAACCAACCGUUGGAAUUGCCCCCUGAUGUUGUUAGAGCAAGCGAUAAGCCAGACCUCGGUUUGGACGAGCUCAGCUCUUUGAAUGUAAAAUCAAGGUUUCAAGUAUUUGAGAAACAAGACAAUACAGAUGGCGAAAUUGAAAAAUCGCCCACAACUGUUAGCGUUAAGAGAUCAUCGAGCAUUUUGAGCAAGCUUGCCAAAUUUCAAAAGAAAGGGAUGGAUGUGGGCGUGACAGAUGACGCGCUUUCCAACGGAUUUAUCUGCGAAUCUUCAUCAUCCAGCGAGGAAGACGAAGAUGAAGAUGAUGAAGAAGAUACAGGAAUCAUCAAGUGCAGGCGAAAGGCCAAAGAGAGGCCAAUGAGUUUUGGAAAAAUUGAUGACGUGAAGAAAAGUUGGGAGAGUCAGCAUGACCAAGCAACAAGAAGAGAAAUGAUGCGAGAACAGAAGAAAGAAGAACUGCAAGCUCUCAGAUCAAGGAUGUUCAUGGGCAAACAGGUUAAAAUGAAAGAGCUUUAUGAGCAGGCUGUUGCUGAGAGCGAAGGAAAGCCAGCGAAAAGCCUAGAAAACGAUAUUGUUCGUAGUGAAAAGGCCAAGGUUGUACGAGAGAAAUUUGAAAAAGGAGAACCAGUCCGUUCUGAUGAUGAAGAAGAUAACAAAGGAAAGAAGGUGGAGGAAGAUAUGAGUGUCUUCGAAGAAGGAAUCUCGAAGAAAUCAAGAAGUAUAUUCCUUCAAAUGGAUGCGAAAGCUGUAAAGUCGCAGGCUGUUAGUAAUAUUGUCCAGCCACCACGAAAGGAAACAAAGACCAAAAUGGCAAGGGAGGUGUAUUAUUCAAGACAAGCUUCUGAAGAUGUUGUCAAAUCGAGCGAUGUCGUUGAGGAUGCCACCGUCGAAACUGCUGACAUUUCAUCGAAAUUCAAAUUCUUUGAGACUUACAAGCCAAAGGAGAAAGAGAGAAAGGCUUUCAGAAUAACUCCUCCGAGAGAAGGACAAGUCAAGACUGAAUCACCAGAAAGGGAAGUUUAUCGCGACCCUGAUGUGGUGAGGUGCGAUGACAAAGUUGAUGACGAACAAACCGUAAAGAAGAGCCAAACUGCCAGCAGAAUGCUCUCAAUGUUCAGACAGAUGGAGGAGCAGAAAGAAGUCGUCCCUGAUGGACCUAAGCCGAAGAAAUGUUUCACACCACCGCCAGAUUAUAAGGGAAGCGGAAGCUCAGAGGAAAGCGAGGAAGACGACGGUGAAGAGGACGAGGAAGAAGAGGAGGAAGAUGAAAGCGAAAGGGAAGACGGUGUUGUCAAGUCUUCUUACAAAGUAAAAGAUGAAUUCCUCGAACAGGCGAGGAAUGCCGCAAGGGCCAAGCAACUUGCUGCUAAGUUUGAAUCCUGGGAACCUGAGAAGCAAUCAAACAACAAUGCGAUUACUAUGCUUGAUUCGGAACAUGCCAGUAUCGAUUCGACAAAGUCCUUAAGAGCGAAAUUUGAAUCCCUCAAGAGCGAACAGCCGAAAGAGAAGAGCAGGCCCAAAGUCAAUAGAUUUGUGGCAGCAACCACAAUUAGGGUUAUAUUUGCCUUGAAUCUGUCCUGAGUGCGGCCUGCGGGGGAAGCAGACGCCCGACCGAGGAGCCAGGCAGCACGGGGGGACACAGGGGGCAUAUGGGAAGCAUUCUCUUGCAUUGGGUUGUUGCAUUCUCUUGCACACACACACCCCGGCCACCACCGCCACCGGCACCACACCCGAGCUCCCGCCACCAGCCACAGUAAAGAGACUUUCAAAUGGACUCAGCCACUGGUUAUUCCAUAAUUUCUGACUCUAAACAAAAAUAAAUGUUUAGUUUUCCAGGACUAUUGAAGAGUAAAAUUAUAACUUUUAAUGUUAAACCAAGUUUUCCAUUUUUUAGGUGCUUCCUAAUUAUGAAACAGAUGUUAAAUUGCUAAAUUAUAUCUAGUCUAAUUCUGUUAUUUUGUAAUGGAAUUGCAAGAAUAUGAUAAAUAAAGUUUUAUUACUCUUGUGAUUUUUA